AUCUGGCUGGCUCAGUAGGUAGAGCAUGUGACUCUUGAUCUUGGAGUUGUGGGUUCGAGCCCCAUACUAGGUA
rnacentral:tRNA from 1 species